UCUGGAGUCCGACUGCUGGGGUUUCAAUCAUGGUUCUGCAGUUUAUUAACUGUGUAACUUCAGGGAGUGUUCUGGACUGGCUGUGUCCUCUCAAAAUCCAUGUGUUAAAGCCCUAGUUCUCCGUGUGGCUGUAUUUGAAGACGGCACCUCUAAAGAAAGCCAAGGCGGUAGGAGGAUGCCAAGAGUGAAGACAGCCGUCUGUAAGUCAGGAAGAGAGCCCUACCUGACACUGAAUUACCUGGAAACUUGAUCUUGGACUUCUAGGUCCCAAAACUGCACUUCCAGAGAAGUAAAUAACUGUUGUAUUGAAACUUGCAGACACAUUUUGUCUUCCUGGAGGAUGUGGCAGUCGUGCAAGAAUAGACAGUUCCCAAACUAAUUUGUGAGGCUGGAAAAACUAAAUUCAUAAUGGCAACAUGUUGAAUGGUUUUCCAUGGCAACCAAGUGUAAAUGGUUCUGCCAGGUGAACAGUUUCUACCUUUCUCUCCUCUGUGCUAUGCUCCAGGAGGUUGAUCUGUAUGACUACAUCAGCUUUGGUCUAUGGGGAAUUUUGGCAGGAGAUCUGAGAGAUGAAGGGAGGAAGUCACAGAGAGAGAGAGAGAGAGAGAGAGGCAGAGACACAGGCAGAGGGAGAAGCAGGC